rnacentral:rRNA from 1 species
GAGUUUGAUCAUGGCUCAGAUUGAACGCUGGCGGCAGGCCUAACGCAUGCAAGUCGAGCGGUAGAGAGAAGCUUGCUUCUCUUGAGAGCGGCGGACGGGUGAGUAAUGCCUAGGAAUCUGCCUGGUAGUGGGGGAUAACGCUCGGAAACGGACGCUAAUACCGCAUACGUCCUACGGGAGAAAGCAGGGGACCUUCGGGCCUUGCGCUAUCAGAUGAGCCUAGGUCGGAUUAGCUAGUUGGUGAGGUAAUGGCUCACCAAGGCGACGAUCCGUAACUGGUCUGAGAGGAUGAUCAGUCACACUGGAACUGAGACACGGUCCAGACUCCUACGGGAGGCAGCAGUGGGGAAUAUUGGACAAUGGGCGAAAGCCUGAUCCAGCCAUGCCGCGUGUGUGAAGAAGGUCUUCGGAUUGUAAAGCACUUUAAGUUGGGAGGAAGGGCAGUAAAUUAAUACUUUGCUGUUUUGACGUUACCGACAGAAUAAGCACCGGCUAACUCUGUGCCAG